AACCUGUUAAUCGAGUUUAAACUAGCUGUCAAGCGUGUCCUAGUGACUUUGGAAGAAUCUGUGCAUAUCUCUGAAUACGAAGACUAUAUUUCAGAGUGCGUUGAGCCUGAUCCUGGGAUAGAGAGUGAAACCGAACUGUCAGAUCAUUCUCAUGACGUGAUGUCAAGUGAGCCAGGCACUUCAGGAGUGAAUAGCAGCAGGCCAGUAAACACGAAUGAAGGAUCUCCAGAGAGGUCACGGGAGGUCAUGAA